UCGAACGCUGAAGCCUGGUGCUUGCACCGGGUGGAUGAGUGGCGAACGGGUGAGUAACACGUGAGUAACCUGCCCCUGACUUCGGGAUAAGCCCGGGAAACUGGGUCUAAUACCGGAUACGACUGCCGGACGCAUGUCUGGUGGUGGAAAGUUUUUUCGGUUGGGGAUGGGCUCGCGGCCUAUCAGUUUGUUGGUGAGGUAAUGGCUCACCAAGACGACGACGGGUAGCCGGCCUGAGAGGGCGACCGGCCACACUGGGACUGAGACACGGCCCAGACUCCUACGGGAGGCAGCAGUGGGGAAUAUUGCACAAUGGGGGAAACCCUGAUGCAGCGACGCAGCGUGCGGGAUGACGGCCUUCGGGUUGUAAACCGCUUUCAGCAGGGAAGAAGCGCAAGUGACGGUACCUGCAGAAGAAGUACCGGCUAACUACGUGCCAGCAGCCGCGGUAAUACGUAGGGUACGAGCGUUGUCCGGAAUUAUUGGGCGUAAAGAGCUCGUAGGUGGUUGGUCACGUCUGCUGUGGAAACGCAACGCUUAACGUUGCGCGUGCAGUGGGUACGGGCUGACUAGAGUGCAGUAGGGGAGUCUGGAAUUCCUGGUGUAGCGGUGAAAUGCGCAGAUCAGGAGGAACACCGGUGGCGAAGGCGGGACUCUGGGCUGUAACUGACACUGAGGAGCGAAAGCAUGGGGAGCGAACAGGAUUAGAUACCCUGGUAGUCCAUGCCGUAAACGUUGGGCACUAGGUGUGGGGGGCAUUCCACGUUCUCCGCGCCGUAGCUAACGCAUUAAGUGCCCCGCCUGGGGAGUACGGUCGCAAGGCUAAAACUCAAAGGAAUUGACGGGGGCCCGCACAAGCGGCGGAGCAUGCGGAUUAAUUCGAUGCAACGCGAAGAACCUUACCAAGGCUUGACAUACACCGGACCGUCCUGGAAACAGGUCUUCUUCUUUGAAGCUGGUGUACAGGUGGUGCAUGGUUGUCGUCAGCUCGUGUCGUGAGAUGUUGGGUUAAGUCCCGCAACGAGCGCAACCCUCGUUCUAUGUUGCCAGCAUGUGAUGGUGGGAACUCAUAGGAGACUGCCGGGGUCAACUCGGAGGAAGGUGGGGAUGACGUCAAAUCAUCAUGCCCUUUAUGUCUUGGGCUUCACGCAUGCUACAAUGGCUGGUACAGAGAGAGGCGAACCCGUGAGGGCAAGCGAAUCCCUUAAAGCCAGUCUCAGUUCGGAUCGUAGUCUGCAAUUCGACUACGUGAAGUCGGAGUCGCUAGUAAUCGCAGAUCAGCAACGCUGCGGUGAAUACGUUCCCGGGCCUUGUACACACCGCCCGUC
rnacentral:rRNA from 1 species